AGACGACAUGUUGACAUUCCUCAAAGUGUGUCCGUUUUGAAAUGUCAUGAACAACGUGGCAGACUAUCUGCAUGUCGGCUCUGUAUUUAAAAGCCCCUUCAACUGACGGCGACGCCACCUUUUCUUUAACUCUUGUUCGUAGUAGAAAACAUGACGCCGACUGUAACAGGAAGAACCGCUGAAAGAUGGAUGAGCCGCACAGCCAAUGGAAUCGAAAACAUCGCACGCUAAGCCCGCCCCCUCGCGGAAACCGGCCAAUCGCCGCCACGGACGGCGACUUCCGCCACGGAAACGGAUCCCGUCCAUUGUAUCAGCCGUUCGCGAAAGAGUGCCGCGAUUGUUGAGCUAAAAAUCUGUUGUUUCUUUCCCUAAAGUUGUUUCGUUUGCUCCCCCGACGGUCGUCGCUUUUGACCCCGGGAACCGCGUUCGCUUUUGUUAGUGUUAUGUGAAUCUUACGGGGAGGGGGGAGGAAAAGUAGCCGGGGGGGGGGGAGAAACGACGGUUGACGGCGUUACCAUAGGAAUUUGUCCGUUAGCGGCAGCUCAGCCACCUUGCGGUUCAACUAGCGCUCGAGCUAACCGACGUUAACCGUCGCUGUGCGGAUGUAACAGGGUGGGGGGGACGAGGUAGCUCCGGGAAUAUGUAUUUAACCGUGUUCAAAUUAAAUCGCCGGUGUCUAAAAAUAAACACGGUGGCUGUUUAGCUCGCGCACUAGCUGCUACGUAGCAGAGUUAGCUAGCUACCGGAUUGUCUUUUCACAAAAGGGCAACAAACGGAUUUAGUCGCCAGACUAAAUCUUUUACUGUUUUUUUUAAUUUUUUUUUAAUUUAUUAUUAUUUAUUGGUCUCCUGCACUGCGAUAGUACAGGAUGAAUGGAUUCAGCACCGAGGAAGACAGCCACGACGGACCGCCGGCGCCGCCGUUUUACGGGCAGAGCUGCUGUCUGAUCGAAGACGGGGAGCGCUGCGGCCGGUCGGCCGGCAACGCCUCCUUCAGCAAGAGGAUCCAGAAGAGCAUCUCGCAGAAGAAGCUCAAGCUCGACAUCGACAAGAGCGUGGAGACGAUUUGCCAGGUGAGGUGACUGGAGAAGGUGCGACACCUCUAUAUCUGCGACUUCCAUAAGAACUUCAUCCAGAGCGUCCGCAACAAGAGGAAGAGGAAGACCAGUGACGACGGCGGAGAGUCCCCGGAUCAUGACGUGGAGGUCCCCGAGGUCGACCUCUUCCAGCUGCAGGUGAACACGUUGAGACGCUACAAGAGACACUACAAGCUGCAGACCAGGCCCGGACUCAACAAGGCCCAGCUGGCAGAGACCGUGAGUCGUCACUUCAGGAAUAUUCCGGUGAACGAGAAGGAGACGCUGACCUACUUUAUUUACAUGGUGAAGAGCAGCAAGAGCCGCUUGGACCAGAAAGGCGACAGCGGCGUCGGCGUUGGCGGUGGCGUUGGUGUUGGUGGUGGUGGCGUCGGCGGCGGCAGCAAACCGCUGGACUAAACCUCGCAGCGGCGACCGCAGCAGCAACAGUAGCUACAGCGAAAAUCAACAAUAACCCACAGCUUUCCGCAAAAGCCUGGACACCACCACUAACGACGACAACAACAACAACAACAACCCCAAAGCAGCUCCUCCCGCAGCCCUGCCGCCGUCCCACUCCUCUGUAAGACCAGAACACAAACUCUUGUUGUCCUCAGAGGACAUUUAACGCCAACGGAGGAGAAUUCAGGGUGGGAUGAGUUCACCUUUUUGUCUUUCGCUCAUUUUUGCCCUUCUAACAUAAAAAAAAAAAAAAAACUGUCUCUGCGCAUGUUGUCAUCAUCCUCUUCCGCAAAAAGCCUGGUCUCUAAAGACUUUCUGAGGACCAGGACUCACUCCGCAGGUGUGGGGGGGGGGUUACGUCGUAAAACUGUCAAUAUGUACAAAAGAACAGCGUCCGAUCUUUCGUAAGUUGGUUGAAUGCAAUGUACGAUACAGCUGCCUUAAGAGUGGGGAACGAGUCGUUUUGGUAACGAGGAGUCAUUUGGAAUCGAAUGAGGAAGAGUGGGAUUUAGUGUGAGGUUUUUUUUUUUUUCUUUUAUUGUGAAUGAAUGAGUUGUUGGAAAGGGGGGGCGCUGCCUUCGCUGAAGCUCCCUUCAGAAUAUCAGGGCUCCACGUCAGUUUAAAUGGCACCGAAUUCACAUGAAAACCUUCAUUCUCAAUAAUGUUUAAAAAACAGAUGAAAUGCAAGCUGAUCUCAGUCCUGAUAUUUGAUCUUUUAGUCGCCCCUUUCCUGCUGGACGUGGUGCAUUCAAAGACCGAUGGUGGUGAAUGAUGUAGCAUUCGGCUAUGACCCACUCUUCUCCUUGCUAACUGUUUUAUGUAUGUUUGAAUACACACACACACACACAUUCAUUUUCUUUCUGCAUUGCAGGUUUCGGUAGCUAAAUUCUAUUUUUUUUUUUUUUUUCUUUGCAUUAAUUCAGCAUUAAGAUGAUUUUGUUUUAUCAUUUCUUUUGUGUGGGUGUGUGUGUGUGUGUGUUUGUGUGAGUAAAUAUUAGCAUAAUUUUAAUAUUUAAGAGCUGUGUUUAGUGGACAAAAGUCUCAAGUCUUCAUUUAUUUCGUUACAUACUUGGAUGCGUUUCAAGAAGCUGUAAAGCAAAAAAACGGAAGUCAAUGGGUUGUUUUUGUCCUUCUUUCUUUAUCUUUUGAGUAAUUUUAAACUAAAACACUUGUGGAUGCCUUUCUUCAUGUCUGCCUGCAGAAAUCACAAUGUCAGCUGAUGAGUUCUAAACAAAAAAGAAGAAGGAAAAACAAAAGGGUGUUUUAAAUUGUUUAUGCCCAGUUGAAAUAAUCCCGUCGUGAAGGAGUUUGUGACCAUCUCGACUUCUUUUCUAUUUUUGUACGUUGACAUUGAAGCGCUCUGACUCUGCACUUUGGCGAUUUAUUGUCUUAACGAUUUGAGUAUUCGAGUAACCGAUUUUUCACAAGUUAGUGAAAUGAAUGAGAUAAAGGAAUUCGGUUGGAUUGGGUCUUCAUAUUGGGUUUCCAUGAUUUUAAGCCCUGAUGGGGGAGGGGAGGGGGAGGGAGUAGCACUUUGGGCAUUUGCCAGUUAAACAUAAAACAUUUUUUAGGCGAAGAUACCGACGGGCGAUACACGUUUAUUUCAAUUCUUUAAGCACUGCGGGAACCUCCCAGGCCACGAACAACUUGCAGCUCUUCAGCUCCACACUUGGAUUUGUUUUUUCCUUCACUGUGGUGACGACAUAGUGUGGGCUUUUCUUUCUGCAGCCUCUGACACGCAUCGUAUUUAAGUUGUUCCACAAAUCUGAGUCGUCUACCUUCAAAAGGGUUCUUUUUUUUUACUUUCUUUUUUUUUUUGGGUUAUAGUUUUUUUUUUUUUUUUUUUUUUUUAAAAAGCGUCUGUUAUAUUUUCACUUUUGCUUGUAGGUUUGUUAGUGUCAUGUAGAUAACACCCAACUUUAUUAACAUAUAGGCCACGCCACAUUAACGUAAUUGUUGUAUUAGAAGAAAAAAAAACAUAUUUAAAUAUGGCUGCUUAUUGCUCCUGAUGAUGAUGAUGAUGAUGAUGAUAAUAAAUGUGUUGUACAGACAGAC